AAUGAACGCUGGCGGCAUGCCUAACACAUGCAAGUCGAACGAAGGCUUCGGCCUUAGUGGCGCACGGGUGCGUAACGCGUGGGAAUCUGCCCUCAGGUUCGGAAUAACAGCGAGAAAUUGCUGCUAAUACCGGAUGAUAUCGCGAGAUCAAAGAUUUAUCGCCAGAGGAUGAGCCCGCGUAGGAUUAGCUAGUUGGUGUGGUAAAGGCGCACCAAGGCGACGAUCCUUAGCUGGUCUGAGAGGAUGAUCAGCCACACUGGGACUGAGACACGGCCCAGACUCCUACGGGAGGCAGCAGUGGGGAAUAUUGGACAAUGGGCGAAAGCCUGAUCCAGCAAUGCCGCGUGAGUGAUGAAGGCCUUAGGGUUGUAAAGCUCUUUUACCCGGGAUGAUAAUGACAGUACCGGGAGAAUGAGCUCCGGCUAACUCCGUGCCAGCAGCCGCCGUAA
rnacentral:rRNA from 1 species